UUCCUCUAAAGUUCCUCUAAAUAUAUCUACGAUUGGAAUUUUGGCUCCAUAACCCCAAAGUGAAGUGCCGCCCAAAUAUCCAUUGGAAUUUGCCCUAAUUUACACACUUCAGAGAAUAGGCGAAUCGAUCUGCACACCAUGAAGCCGCCGGCUAUUCGAUCCGCAGACCGUGAAUCAGCGUCGCUUUUCUUCUGGUUCAGGGGGACAAAUUUAAUUUUCUGAAGCAUAAAAGAGAAAGAAGGUGUUGGCUUCAAGAACCAUGUCAUACAGGAACAAAUGAAGGGCUAUCUUCAAAAGAUGGAAGUGCUUUCGUGGAUUAAUUUGUGGUUGUGACAAACAAAGAGCAUACGGACACCGUUGACUUUAUGGUAGAGGCGUUAUUAACAAAUUGAUAAAAAAGUGGAUGGUUGUGAUAUACCUACCAUACAUGAUUCCAAGGGACUUAUGGAAUCAUUCAAAGCUAGUGUCGAAGUUAAAACAAUUAUUUGCAUGAAAUGCGAAAGAUAUUAAAGAGGAUCGUGAAAGGAAAAAACGCCGAGCAUGAAAUGCGAAAAGAUAUUAAAGAGGAUCGUGAAAGGAAAAAACGCCGAGUUAGAAGCCACAUGGAAAUAUAAUUGACAACCAUUAAGAAAACACUCAAGCAACUACCUUUUAGAGGUGGAGAGUUUUGAACAUGUGUAGAAGGUUUUUGUUACUCUUAAUUAAUUGUAAUUUACAACUUUGUGUUGAAUACAUUAUUUUGAGUUUGAACAUAUAUGUUAAAGUACAUAAAGAUUCUUUAUA